rnacentral:lncRNA from 1 species
AUGAGGAAUCUGGGGCUAAGGGAGGUCAAGGGGCUGCUCCAGGGUAACACGGCCAUUGGGUCUGACCCAGAGGCCCAGGCCUUUGCCACUUGUGAUGCGACCUUGCCCACUCCUCUCCUUUCCCCUACUCAGCCGGAAGUGUCUCAGGCCCAGGCCCAGCCCCGGGAAGUCCAGCAGAUACUGGUCAUUGAUGGAGUCCCCAUGCCAGGCUGUCCCAGCUUACCCUUGGCGCAGUCGAUGUCGGGUCACAAGGUUUGGGUGAAUCCCGUGAGAGGACGCCUACCUGAGGUCGUGGGGGCUCAGCCUCACCAGAGCCUGGGACUCACGGGCUGCCAGUCUGGCCGUGGCCCAGGAAGUCUCGAGGCAGCUGUUGAAGCUUGUUUGCAGAGGCUGCCGUGUUUGGGGAGGACGCCUGUGUUAUCCCCAGCCGCAUCGGGGAGCCGGGGUUUGAUACCUGGCUCUGCUCUGGACGCCAGCUUCCCGAGCAUGCAGCCCCUGGGAGGCAGCAGGGAGGGCUUGAGUGGCUCAAGUGCCUGGGUCCCUGCCACCCACACGGGAGACCUGGGAGGAAUUCCCAGCUCCUGGCUUCAGCUCCAGCCUGGCCCUGGCUGCUGCGGGCAUUUGGGGAGUGAACCAGUGGAAAGGGAGUUCUCACUGUUUCUUUUCUUUUCUUUUCUUUUCUUUUUUUUAAAUUUAUUUUUGACAGGCAGAGUGGACAGUGAGAGAGACAGAGAGAAAGGUCUUCCUUUUGCCGUUGGUUCACCCUCCAAUGGCCGCCGCGGCCGGCGCACCACGCUGAUCCAAAGGCAGGAGCCAGGUGCUUCUUCUGGUCUCCUAUGGGGUGCAGGGCCCAAGCACUUGGGCCAUCCUCCACUGCACUCCCUGGCCACAGCAGAGAGCUGGCCUGGAAGAGGGGCAACCGGGACAGAAUCCGGCACCCCGACCGGGACUAGAACCCGGUGUGCCGGCUCCGCAAGGCGGAGGAUUAGCCUAGUGAGCCAUGGCAGCAGCCUGAGUUUCACUAUUUCUGUGUGUGUGUGUGUGUGUGUGUGUGUGUGUUUCUGCCUCUCGAAAGAAAAAAAAGGGCAAAAUUCCGUAAAACAAAAUUAUGCAUUAUUUAUGGCUAUAAACUAUAAAAUGAUCACCAAUGUUUAUUUCAAAAAUGGAUGACCCGGCCGACGCCACAGCUCACUAGGCUAAUCCUCUGCCUGUGGCGCUGGCACCCCGGGUUCUAGUCCUGGUCAGGGCACCGGAUUCUGUCCCGGUUGCCCCUCUUCCAGUCCAGCUCUCUGCUGUGGCCCGGAUGGCCCAGGUCCUUGGGCCCUGCACCCGCAUGGGAGACCAGGAGAAGCACCUGGCUCCUGGCUUCGGAUCAGGCAUAGCGGCCAUUUGUGGGGUGAACCAAUGGAAGGAAGACCUUUCUCUCUGUCUCUCUCUCACUGUCUAACUCUGCCUGUCAACAAAAAAAUAAUGGAUGACUGAAUAAAUAAAAUGCCACCACACUUGGGGCCCA